rnacentral:rRNA from 1 species
GAUGAACGCUGACAGAAUGCUUAACACAUGCAAGUCAACUUGAAUUUGGGUUUUUAACUUAGGUUUGGGUGGCGGACGGGUGAGUAACGCGUAAAGAACUUGCCUCACAGCUAGGGACAACAUUUGGAAACGAAUGCUAAUACCUAAUAUUAUGAUAAUAGGACAUCCUAUAAUUAUGAAAGCUAUAAGCGCUGUGAGAGAGCUUUGCGUCCCAUUAGCUAGUUGGAGAGGUAACGGCUCACCAAGGCGAUGAUGGGUAGCCGGCCUGAGAGGGUGAUCGGCCACAAGGGGACUGAGACACGGCCCUUACUCCUACGGGAGGCAGCAGUGGGGAAUAUUGGACAAUGGACCGAGAGUCUGAUCCAGCAAUUCUGUGUGCACGAUGAAGUUUUUCGGAAUGUAAAGUGCUUUCAGUUGGGAAGAAACAAAUGACGGUACCAACAGAAGAAGUGACGGCUAAAUACGUG